rnacentral:lncRNA from 1 species
UGUGUUGUGAUUGCGGCUAGAUAUUCUCCUGAUAUAGUAGUAGCUGCUAUAUCCUUUUUUGGUGCUUGUGUUUAAUAACUAGUUAUGGCUGUUGGGGUGCUGGGUGGCCAACACUGUACUACACUAAAUAGAGUUUACUUGCUUAAAUGAUUUUGAUGAUGAAUUUUUGGGUACUACAAUGAUUUCAUGGGUUUGCACCCACCCGUUACUUGAUGAUGUAAGAGCCUGCUGUGGAUUCCUGUGAACAUUGCUUGAUUGUCUUUCCUUGGAAUCAUAGCGUAUACCAUUUGCUGCGGAAUGUACUGCAAAAGUAUUCUCUCAUCGAUAAUGCUGUGUUCAGUCUUCCCUACAAUUCUCAACCGUGGGAGAAAUCCAAAGUGUCUCAUCUUAUUAGGAGGUGAAAUUGAAUCAUCCGCCACCAUGUCGAUUGAGCAGUUGCUGGAGAAAUUGAUCACCGAGUAUAUGAAGGUUUCUUGUUGUCCUCCUCAGUUGAUGUCAUCAUCUCCUGGACGUUUUCGGGCCAAGUGGUGGGCGGAUCAGGAGCCAGCGCUUUCAUCUCCAGCAGAAGACCACUUCAUUAUUCCUUCCUCGUUAUUCUGAUCCAUCGAGUCUACAGAGUUUUCACACAUGUCGUGCAGGAUUCGUGGCUGUUCCUCUUGGACGUGGUCCCAUUUGAAAUCCUCGUAUUGGUGGACUCGGCCAAGGCAAUGGCCGGGGCAAACCUUGCACGCCCAACUUACGGAUACGAAAUCGGAUUCAAGUGCUGCCCCAACGUCGUCCAUGUCUUCCAUCUCAAAGGCUAAGCAGGAAGAAGACUCGGCGGUCGAAAUGUUUGAAUUGCCAGGGUACUUGCUGGUCUCUGUCGACGUCGACUCCGUUACGUUGGAUAGAAUCCAUUUUGAUUUCGUGACAGUUCAUUUGAUUUUCCAAAAUUGGAUACAUGGUAUCAGUGACGCUGUCUAUAAAUCCCACUAUGUAACCAACAAACAAAAAUCAGAAAUUACCACCAGAAAUGCAUGCGGAGUGUAUUCCGCCCUUCCAUCGUGGCUCUACUAUACUUCCAUCAGUUCCAUCCCUUCCAUUCGACACCGAGUCGAUGAAAUAUAGUUUCUGGAGCAACCAUCGCCGAACAUGAAGGUUUCUUGUUGAUGUCCUCCUCAGGUGUGAUCAUCUCCUGGAUGUUUUCGGGCCUAGUGGUGGGCGGAUUAUUAGCCAGCGCUUUCAUCUCCA